AGAGUUUGAUCCUGGCUUCAGGGAUGAACGCUGGCGGCGUGCCUAAUACAUGCAAGUCGAACGCUUUGUCUUUAAUUGAUCUUGACGAGCUUGCUCUGAUGUGAUUUUAUCUGACAAAGAGUGGCGAACGGGUGAGUAACACGUGGGUAACCUACCUCUUAGCAGGGGAUAACAUUUGGAAACAAGUGCUAAUACCGUGUAAUACCAACAACCGCAUGGUUGUUGGUUGAAAGAUGGUUCUGCUAUCACUAAGAGAUGGACCCGCGGUGCAUUAGCUAGUUGGUAAGGUAAUGGCUUACCAAGGCAAUGAUGCAUAGCCGAGUUGAGAGACUGAUCGGCCACAAUGGGACUGAGACACGGCCCAUACUCCUACGGGAGGCAGCAGUAGGGAACCUUCCACAAUGGGCGCAAGCCUGAUGGAGCAACGCCGCGUGUGUGAUGAAGGGUUUCGGCUCGUAAAACACUGUUAUAAGAGAAGAACGGCACUGAGAGUAACUGUUCAGUGUGUGACGGUAUCUUACCAGAAAGGAACGGCUAAAUACGUGCCAGCAGCCGCGGUAAUACGUAUGUUCCAAGCGUUAUCCGGAUUUAUUGGGCGUAAAGCGAGCGCAGACGGUUAUUUAAGUCUGAAGUGAAAGCCCUCAGCUCAACUGAGGAAUGGCUUUGGAAACUGGAUGACUUGAGUGCAGUAGAGGAAAGUGGAACUCCAUGUGUAGCGGUGAAAUGCGUAGAUAUAUGGAAGAACACCAGUGGCGAAGGCGGCUUUCUGGACUGUAACUGACGUUGAGGCUCGAAAGUGUGGGUAGCAAACAGGAUUAGAUACCCUGGUAGUCCACACCGUAAACGAUGAGUGCUAGAUGUUCGAGGGUUUCCGCCCUUGAGUGUCGCAGCUAAUGCAUUAAGCACUCCGCCUGGGGAGUA
rnacentral:rRNA from 1 species